rnacentral:rRNA from 1 species
GGUGGGCAGUUUGACUGGGGCGGUCGCCUCCUAAAGAGUAACGGAGGCGCCCAAAGGUUCCCUCAGAAUGGAUGGAAAUCAUUCGCAGAGUGUAAAGGCACACGGGAGCUUGACUGCGAGACUGACACGUCGAGCAGGGACGAAAGUCGGGCUUAGUGAUCCGGUGGUUCCGCAUGGAAGGGCCAUCGCUCAACGGAUAAAAGCUACCCCGGGGAUAACAGGCUUAUCUCCCCCAA